CCAAUUUUCCCAAAUUUUUACCUUCUUUUUUAUUUCCAGCUCUAAUCUUCACUUUCCCUUUCUUUUCUUUCCCUCAAUUUCAUUUUUUGCACAUCCAACAUAUCAAUGAUCCCUCUCAUCUUCAUACCAUAUAAUCAAUGGUGAUAAAGAAUGAUCGUGACCUUUUCAUUUAUGGAUGUAGCCUGGAGGAGUUAAGUUAUUUUGACAAUUUUAUUUUAUUUUUCUUCUCUAUUUUUUUGAUUUGUUUUUCUUUUCAUCCUCAUUAUUAUUUUAUUUGUAUAUAAUGAUUAGCCUUUCGUACUUCCUCUAUUGUUAGUAAAAAUAUUCUAAUAUGAUUUUGUGAUUUAAUGUUGCUUUGUGAUAUGCCCACCAGAUGCUUGUUGAAAUUUCCAACCGACAAAAGCCUUUUUUUUCUUAACAAAGCUUGACAAGUGAGAAAGAUGGGUUUAAGAAUUUAUUGCUCUCAGAGUGUUUAAGGAGUUCAUUACUUGGUGUCUUUAGAAGGACCCUGGAAAGAGGUAGACCAAUAGGUCGCUGUUGUUCCAUCGUUAUAUCUUUCAAUAUGGUUCUCUGAUCAAUAAUGGUGGCUGGAGCGAUCAGGUGCAUCGGUCUAAAUUUCGAGUAUUUGUUAUAUCUUUCAAUAUGAUUCUAUUUUCAACUUAUUUGGUUUGAUCCAGUUUCAAACAUGGAUAUGUUGCCUACAUCAAUAUUAGUAUUCCAGUCAAUAUUUCAAAUAUGCCCAGAAAAUAUGAAUGGUUUCUUUACUUUCAACAGACAACUAUUCGCAAAAGAUCAGUGUGUUCUAGAAUAAACAAAAUAUGAAUAUAAGCUAUAGAACAUACAUGCAAUACAAAAGUAAUAUAUAAACCGGUUAUGCAUUUGAUUUUGAUUUGAUAUUAUUUACUCAUUUGGAUGGCAAUACAAAGUGUAAUCAUCCUAAGCUAUAGAACAUACAUGCAAUAAAAAAGAAAUACAUAAACCGGUUCUGCAUUUGAUUUUGAUUUGAUAUUAUUUACUCAUUUGGAUGGCAAUACAAAGUGUAAUCAUCCUAUUCUAUAGGUGGGUACACCCAUAUAUAGCAAUGUAAAAUCAUGAUUCUUGUAGUAAUCAAGCUAAAAAAUCUGCAGUAACAUUAGAAGAAAAAGAAAAUAGGUUAGUCAAUU
rnacentral:lncRNA from 1 species